AUUGAACGCUGGCGGCAUGCUUUACACAUGCAAGUCGAACGGCAGCACGGGUGCUUGCACUGGUGGCGAGUGGCGAACGGGUGAGUAAUACAUCGGAACGUACCUUAUCGUGGGGGAUAACGCAGCGAAAGUUGCGCUAAUACCGCAUACGCCCUGAGGGGGAAAGCGGGGGACCGUAAGGCCUCGCGCGAUUAGAGCGGCCGAUGUCUGAUUAGCUUGUUGGUGAGGUAAAAGCUCACCAAGGCGAUGAUCAGUAGCUGGUCUGAGAGGACGAUCAGCCACACUGGGACUGAGACACGGCCCAGACUCCUACGGGAGGCAGCAGUGGGGAAUUUUGGACAAUGGGGGCAACCCUGAUCCAGCAAUGCCGCGUGAGUGAAGAAGGCCUUCGGGUUGUAAAGCUCUUUUGUCAGGGAAGAAACAGCAGCUCUAACACAGACUGCGAAUGACGGUACCUGAAGAAUAAGCACCGGCUAACUACGUGCCAGCAGCCGCGGUAAUACGUAGGGUGCGAGCGUUAAUCGGAAUUACUGGGCGUAAAGCGUGCGCAGGCGGUUAUACAAGACAGGCGUGAAAUCCCCGGGCUUAACCUGGGAAUGGCGUCUGUGACUGUAUAGCUAGAGUGUGUCAGAGGGGGGUGGAAUUCCACGUGUAGCAGUGAAAUGCGUAGAUAUGUGGAGGAACACCAAUGGCGAAGGCAGCCCCCUGGGAUAACACUGACGCU
rnacentral:rRNA from 1 species